rnacentral:rRNA from 1 species
AUUGAACGCUGGCGGCAGGCCUAACACAUGCAAGUCGAGCGCGCGGCGGCCGGGUGAGUAAUGUCUGGGAAACUGCCUGAUGGAGGGGGAUAACUACUGGAAACGGUAGCUAAUACCCCCUACCCUCCCAUGUGCCCCCAUGGGCUUUGCUAGGAGGUGGGGUAACGGCUCCCCUAGGCGACGAUCCCUAGCUGGUCUGAGAGGAUGACCAGCCACACUGGAACUGAGACACGGUCCAGACUCCUACGGGAGGCAGCAGUGGGGAAGAUUGCACAAUGGGCGCAAGCCUGAUGCAGCCAUGCAGCGUGUGUGAAGAAGGCCUUAGGGUUGUAAAGAACUUUCAGCGGGGAGGCGUUACCCGCAGAAGAAGCACCGGCUAACUCCGUGCCAGCAGCCGCGGUAAUUC